rnacentral:rRNA from 1 species
UAUAAGAGACAGCAGCCGCCACGGUAAUACGAACCGUGCGAACGUUAUUCGGAAUCACUGGGCUUAAAGCGCGUGUAGGCGGAUGGGAACGUCGGUCGUUGAAAUCCCCCGGCUUAACCGGGGAAGUGGCGCCGAUACGACCCGUCUGGAGGAACGUAGGGGGAGCUGGAACUUCCGGUGGAGCGGUGAAAUGCGUUGAGAUCGGAAGGAACGCCCGUGGCGAAAGCGAGCUCCUGGACGUUUUCUGACGCUGAGACGCGAAAGCCAGGGGAGCGAACGGGAUUAGAUACCCCUGUAGUCCCUGUCUCUUAUA